rnacentral:rRNA from 1 species
GACGAACGCUGGCGGCGUGCCUAAUACAUGCAAGUAGAACGCUGAAGGAGGAGCUUGCUUCUCUGGAUGAGUUGCGAACGGGUGAGUAACGCGUAGGUAACCUGCCUGGUAGCGGGGGAUAACUAUUGGAAACGAUAGCUAAUACCACAUAAGAGUAGAUGUUGCAUGACAUUUACUUAAAAGGUGCAAUUGCAUCACUACCAGAUGGACCUGCGUUGUAUUAGCUAGUUGGUGAGGUAACGGCUCACCAAGGCAACGAUACAUAGCCGACCUGAGAGGGUGAGCGGCCACACUGGGACUGAGACACGGCCCAGACUCCUACGGGAGGCAGCAGUAGGGAAUCUUCGGCAAUGGACGGAAGUCUGACCGAGCAACGCCGCGUGAGUGAAGAAGGUUUUCGGAUCGUAAAGCUCUGUUGUAAGAGAAGAACGAGUGUGAGAGUGGAAAGUUCACACUGUGACGGUAUCUUACCAGAAAGGGACGGCUAACUACGUG